GUUUUGGAAAUGGCAUUUAAAAAUCCUUCGUGAAAUGUUAAUCGAAUAAAAUAUUAAAGUUGAAUUCUUACCCAUCUUGUCUUUAGUGUCCUAGAUUGAAGAUAUCCUACAUUGUCCUAGCUGCAUCUCAUAUAUCUUCCAUAAAAUUUGCGUUUUUCUAGCUUCACGAAUCAUGAUGUCAAUAUCAGUGUCGUCUGUCUGAACGCUCGUUUCCGGGUGAACCGUACGGGCUAAUAUUAAACCAAAGGCGAAGCAUUAAAAAUUCCAUUUAAACGGCAUUAAAUGAUUGAAAUCCAUGCGUAGAUUUAUAAGUAAUAAAAACAAGUAAACAUGAUUAAUAAUUGUAUGUAACCGAUUGGACCUUAAAAAAAAUAUAUGAAUGUGGAUUCCGUAAUUUCCUCUGAGUCUCCAUGCCAGUGUAAUGGUAUUUCCCGCGGUUAUUUUUGUACAACUUAUAAAUAAAAUACGGUAUGACUAUCACUUGCCACUAUGUACCUAACAGAAUGAACAAUUUUGCAAAGACUCACUCAGUGUAAGUAUAUCGAUACGGUGAAUUAAUUAACAUGAAAAAACUCUGUAAUUUCUAAAUAAUUUUACUGGACACAAAACACACGGGCACCUGGUAAUUCGUCACCUUAUUAAAGUCAAAUCGGCACCUUUUUUCACGACAUUUCUGCAAUUGAUUUUUUAACUGUCACCUGAUAUUAAAAACGGUUUUCAUCUUUAAUUUGAAAGUAAUUAUUGGUUCUCUUCUCUGCUGCAGUAUUAUAGAUGAGGAUAAAAAGAAGAGAAAACAAUUAAAUUUUAUCAUUGAUUUUUUUUUUGAUAAUCUGCCUUUCCUGAUUUUCCUGAUCUUUUCAGUGGCGGAUCCAUAACUUUUUCUAGGGGGGGGCGCGACUGACCUAACGGGGGGCUGCUCAGUCAUGCUCCAAUGAUUCCCUAUAUAAUCAACCAAAUUUUUCCCACAAAAGGGGGGGGCAGCCCCCCCCCCUGGAUCCGCCUAUGCUUUUACCUGUAUACUUGAAAACAAUAAAUACUAUUGUUUGCUAGUAUUGUGCAGUUGUCAUGAAAUAAAAGUUCAUUAUAAUAAUAAAUAUAGGUUCCAGUAGGAACAUGCAGAUCUAUUGUGGCUCCAUUGAUUGUUUAUACAGAGAGCACACAAGAUCAUGUAAAUUUGGUUAAAUGUCCAAUGGUAGAUGGAGAAACAGCACUGUAUAUAUAAAUAGAGCACCUAGAUUCUACCUGUGAAAAAUAUGGUUCCUUUUUCAAAGGAGGUUUAAGGAUCAGUUCAAUUAUAUUAGAUAUUAAGAUAGUUUAUAAAACAAUUAUGCAUCGGUGGAUCCAGGUGGGACGGGCCCCCCCUUUCGUGGGAAAAAUUUGGUUGAUUAUAUAGGGAAUCAUUGAAGCAUGACUGGAAGCGGCCCCCCUUAGGUCAGUCAGCGGGCCCCCCCUUAGGAAAAGUUCUGGAUCCGCCACUGUUAUGGGAGUCUUCAACAGUUCACUUGCAAAACAUAAUAUUAAUUUUGGGUAUGGACUUAACUACUGCGGGUUACCGAAUUAACAAGGGGCGGAUUUGACUUGUUAUGCCAUAUUAACUAUCAAAGGUGGCUUAGGUGCCCAUUUGACCAGGUUUCCAAACAUGGCAAAAUGACUAGAAUUCAGACACAGUGUUAAACAAAUUAAGAUAUAUACAUUUUUGUGUUGGAAUGCACACUACACUGGCAGCUUUAUUAACUAAGCUACAUUAGAUUGUAACUUGAGUUAUAUUCCUUGUGACUAAUUAUACAUGUGUUAAAAAAUAAUACAAUUUUGAAUAAUAAUAUUGAAAAUAAGGAGAUCAAUGUAGUAUGAUUGCCUAUGAGAUUACUAUCUCUACUAAUGUUUAUAUGAACUGGAUUUAAGCAUCUAUAUAGGACACCUUAAUACCUUUAACAAUGAACAAAGCUCAUACUGUCAGCUACAAAAAAUGUAUAACAGGCCAUCAAGGCUUGACAUGACAAAAUGUAAAAUGAUUUGCCAAAAUAAAUCAAAUAUGGCAGACUGCAUCAAACAACAACUAAAUUUCAUCCGGACUUGGAACAGGCAUAAAUAGAAUGUUGUGACUGUUGUGUAACAGCACAAAAGAGGAACAAAGUGGUGAAAUCGGUUAGAAAUUGUUUUGAUUCAUUGAAUUGGUACAAAGCUAAAAAAUUCUAACAUGAAGACAAACAAUCAAAACUUAAUAGUACUUUCAGUUAUUGAAAGCUCAUUAAAAGCUAAUAAAAACUCAAACAUUAUAUAUAAACCAUGUUUUCCCGUACACAUAUAUAUAUGUAUAGAUGUAAUUAUCAGAGAAAUUCGUUUUACAAUUUUUGUUUAACAUGUUUAAUUAUCUAUAACUGAUAUAUUUUUUUAUUAAAGUUUCCAAGCAAGUCAAUACAUGCAAUAACAAAAAACUUUUGGGACAGAAGACACUGUUUAAAAAACGUGACCAAAGAAAAGAAAAGGAAAUGUACUUGUAAUCGACACUGGAGAAAAAAUGGACUCUUCAGGUAAGAAGUUUUAUUCUGCAAUAACUUUUGUUUAAUUGUUAAUCUGUUUUUGAAUAAAAGAAUGUGUAAAGUAUAUUUUAGUGGGACAGCAUCCCAACAAACAAUAAAUCUGAAGAGAUAUCAAGUGGUAAAUAUUUUGCUUACUGAAAGUUAAUACCAAAUGUGCCAUGCUAUAAAUUAUCCUUCAUCUGAAGAAGGUAUGAAUAUAUGCAACAGGAAUUUUACAGAAAAAAUCUGUCCUUUAUUAUGUCUAUAUGCUAGCCGCAAAUUUUUCACUGCAUUUGCAUAUCUAGUUAGGUUAGUACUUUUUCAUCUUUUUAAAAUUUUGUCUUGCAAAACAACACAUUGCAGGGAUAAAGUAAAUGCAACAAGUUUUCAUUUUAUCCAGUUUUUUUCAUGUUUGCACAUUCUCUUUCCCAUACAAUGUUUUGGUGAAGUUAAAUAAUAGUAGUUUGUACACAUGUUGCCACUUGGAAAUAUAAAUGAUAUGGAAAAUAGCAUUGUGAGCUCUCUCAAGCCUAUGUGAGUUGUAGGAUUUUAGAAAUUUUCAUCAUUUGUUCAUAAGUAGGAGGCCACUGACUGCCUAAGAGGGCGCCCGCUCCGGUCAUGCUUCAGUGAUUCCCUAUAUAAUCAACCAAAUUUUUACCUGGCCCCACUCUAAAUCCACCUUUGCUAAGACCAGUUAAAUAAUCAGCUUUGGUCAAUUAUGCAUUGAAAUUCUGUUAAAAAGGAAGGUGUUUGACUUUUUCUAGUUUAAAAAUUAAGUGCUAAGAAACUAUUUUUACAGGAAUUAAUAGUUCCCCUUUAAAAUGGAAAGUAUAAUGAAAAUUGCAUUGUCAAUCUCAAUCCUAUUGUUCAACUUCAUGUUUGUUUUUAUAAUUUUUUUUAUCAAAUUCAAAGGUUAGUUUGGCAAGCCAAAGUCAUGGAUGAGUUCAAUAAAUGUUGCAGAUUAGCUUUUUUUGCAGGAGUUAAGCUGCUUUAGAAAACUGCAUUUGUUACUUAUUUCAAGUAUAAUAACUUGUUGAUUUUGCGCAUUUUUUUUCAUAAGAAUGUUCAGUAUAUAUUUGCCUUUCGUGAACUUUUAACUUUCAGUUACAUUCAGUUCUUGUGAAAUUCAACAUCUCUUAUAUAAACAUCACAAAUGUCUUUUUACUUAAUCACCUUUUUUAUGUUUACAGAAGAAAUUGUCACACGGAAAUGUAAUGGGCAAAUUAAAAAGGAGAAGUAACUCUGCUAGGAAGCAGUUCCAGUCAUUUGUAGCAACAGGACUGUGACGAAUAGAACUUUAAUAUAAACUGAAUCAAAAUAUAGAAUUUACCAAACUUGUGUCAGAUAAUACUCUCAUGCUUCUAUUGGAGGACAUCAAUGAUGAGAAGUAAAGGAAAAGACAAUAAAUGACAGCAUAUCAAAUAUCACAAUGUAUAUUUAGUCAGUUAACACAUUAAUUCAUCUACAUACAUUACAGCAUUUCAUUUUAACCAUGUGUAAAUUUUGUCUAUUCAAGCUUAACAAAAUGCUUUGAAAUUAAAAUAUUAAAUAUUUUAGGCAGACAUGUUUUUGUAAUUUUCAUUUAUUUUUCAAACUUUCAAGUUAUUACAUUCUUCAGUGGCGGAUCCAGCCAAAAGCCCAUUUUUCAAAGGGGUUUCCCAACCAAGGAUAAAGGAGGGGUUCCAAUCAUGUCUUUCAUUUAUAAAUUGUUAAUUUCCACUACAAAACUAAAAAAAAAUAAGCCAAAGAUAAAAAAUCAGUCAUAAAAAAAAUAUAAU
rnacentral:lncRNA from 1 species